AACAUCAGCUUUGUGUGGCCCAAAUGCUCCUGGGAGGUCUCAGACUCUCCAAAACUUUCAUUUUAGGAGCCAAAGUUCUGAACCAAUUCCCUCCUCACCACCACACUAUAUGCAAUAGCAAUAAUAGGAACACUUGACACGACAGGAGCUGCAAAUGCACAGAUAGCCUGUUUUAGGAGAGUGAUGGAUAGUGCAAAUGAAAUGUCAUUCCCUGAGAUCUCUGUCAUGUUUGCUACAUUAAACCAACACCCUCUCUGGCCUAUAUCUUCUGUUUCCCUGGCCUGAAACAGUCUUGGAGUCUCAGCUGGCUCUUGCCAAAAUGUACCAGAAUGGAUCUUCUCCUCUACCUGGCUCCUUUGGUGAUGGAUCGCCAGCAUUGACAGAGCUUCUCCAAUAGCCAGACCUCAAGGAGUAGAGAACAACCUCUCUCCAAAAAUUUCAUCUACAUGACUGAGUCCAGACUGAAGAGGAAUGGGAAGUGGAAAACUCAAGAAAUCCAUUUCUGUUUUUAUUGCUGACAGUCAUAAAGUCUUUAUGAUUCCAUCUGUAUGACUGCAAUAUCUUUGGUUUUUGCCUAACAACAGGAUGAUCGUACAGCAAAUUAAGGACAAGCCUAAAACUUUUUCUUAACACUGUGGGUCAGUUAUCAUGGACCUCAUUAGCAAAAAUUGAUCUUCAGUAUUAUGCUUGGUAUCAGAGCUCAUCUUUUAGGGAGAGGGUCAUAGGGUGUUUGUUUAACCUUUCAAAUGUAUAUAAUCAUAUAUUAUCCCUCAUAAGUUAAAAA